GGUUCUGUCAUAUUAUGUAUACAAGUAUAAAUAUAACGUUAUUUAUCAUAUAUACAACAUGCUAGUGAACAAAUCAACUCUGUGAAGAAUAGAGCUAUUGGAGUAAUGUGAUAUAUGUCGUUCAAUAUGUACAAAACAAAGCACAAAGAACCGUAAAGUUUAUGUAUUUCGUUUUGCUUCCUGUUUUCACUUGGUGUAUAUGGAAUGCUACUGAAAAUGUCAGAUGUGUUAAUUAUCAUUACCUUAGUUUCUGUUGGUAUAUGCACAUCUACCCUCGUCGCAAACGUAUCAGAAGAGUGUUUCGGCAACACACAUAGUAAUUUUCUGUUUCCAUCCUGCUUCUCCGGCCAGGUAAUGUAUGUCCAUGAUGUGUAUUCAUACGCUAAGACGUUAGAUUCUAGGUGUCCACAAAUACAGACAUCAAACGUGAAUGCUUCUGAAGGAUGCUGUGCUUACUACAAUGCAACAGAAGAUUGUGGGAUGCGCUACUAUGGGCCAAAUGGAGAUCUUACAAUCUACUCUGACUGUAGCGGAAGUGUUUCCUGUCAGAAAGCUGUCGGAUGGAAUGAUACCAUAAAAGAGUGUAAUCAAUCAGUGUUUUUACCACAAACAAAUUAUAUGCAGUUAAACUAUCACUGCAUUGAAGAGAUAGAAAUUUGUAGCAUAUGCUCUUGUAAUGCGUCUGGGACUUCAUUAUACAUAUGGAAUGGAGAGUAUCCAAACGCUAUGAAUGACUGUUCUUUAACAUCUGGAUGUUCCUGUUCAAUAACAUCAAGUUCUCAAAUACAAUUAAUUGCUUUUGACGUCCGAUUUAAAAUGAAUUCUACCACUGGUGACUGUGCUCAAAGACUACACAUACAAGAUGAUGAAUCUGAAUUCGACAUUGCGUGUGAUGAUCAGAAUGCGUUUGAGAAACGAACGGCUUAUAUAAGUACAUCUAAUCGCAUAAAACUCAGGCUUGAUAACAGUUUGGAAGUGUCAAAUGGUUAUUUUUGGAUUCAAGUACAAGCGUUUGACGGUACUGAUACGUUAACCUUAACAUGUGGUAAGGAGAACGCUACAUAUGGCUGCAAUGAUAAUUUUACAAUUAUAUCGGAGAACGUCACAGAAUUUAUCCUACCUGAAAAAGACAGAAGGGAUAGCGCCGCCGAGAGUGCUACAUGUAUUUCGCAGGUAACAGCGGGGGUAUCGGUACUAUAAUAGGAGUCGUUGUCGCAAUGAUUGUUCUUGUGGCUAUGGCAUUGCUAGCUUUUAAAUUAUGGAAGAGAUAUAAAGACAAACAUACGAAGGUGGACCCGAAACCGGAACCAGAGACAGAUACGGACGAUGAUGAUAUGUUUAAUAACAACGACGAAACACCAAUAACAAGCCGUGCACCUGAGUCUGUACUUAUCCGCAUGAAAACAAAUGUAUAGGUCAAAACACUAAGACUGCAAUAUUCAAUUCAUUGUACCAAUGAUCUUAACAUUGUUAAUACCGCAUCAUUCUCUUACUGCUUGUCCCAAUUCAGAAUCAUGUAGUUCGGUGGUUGUCGUUCUUUGCAGUCUGUUAUAUUUGUUUUUCGUUUAUCGCUUUGUAAUUAAUAUUGAUUGUAUUUUGUGGGAAUUGUUAAAUUUUGUUAUGUAUGGACCUUUAAUAACUGACAAUAUGGGAUGGGGUUUGCUCAUUGUUGAAGGUCGUACGGUGACUUAUAGUUCAUUAAAUGCUCGUCAUUUGGACAAUCGCGGAUAGUUGUCUCAUUGGUAAUCAUACCAUGUCUCCUUAUUUUAUAUGUAUAUAAUAUCUUAAUUCAUUGGCUAAUGUGUAUUUGAAGUAUGAAUAACACUGCUGCACGCUAUGCAUUUAUCAAUUUUUAUUAAGUACGCCAUUUAUAACUUUUUAGCUCCAAUAUUCCAGAAAAAAAAAUUAAAAUACAUAUCGUACACGGCAAACCUAAUUUAAUUCACAUUUUAACACUACCGAAGGGAUUACGCGGAUGGCUAUUUUUCUUACGAUGGGCAAAGAACGAAACAAUAUGUAAUUUUGACCCUAACAUUGUCUUUUACAAAGUUUGCCUUCAUGUCACCAAAAUAUGUAUGUCCAUUAUCAAUGACGUUUCGUAUUGGUACAUACAUACAUAUUAAGAUAGUAAAAGGUUGAAACCAUAAUAUAAAACUUUAAUUAUAUACUUUUCUUGCAUUUAAGUUAAUGAAUAUAUAUAUUUCAUUUUCUUUGGGCAUUUUUCUUGUCUCAAUUUACAGAAGAAAUCCGUUUGGGCCAAAAAUGCGUCCUUUUGCGCCACAACUUAUUUGCGCCAAUGCUUCGUUUGCGCCAAUGCUUCGUUUGCGCCACUAGCUAUAGUUUUUAAAUUACAUAGUAUAUUUUAACCAAAAAUAAAGUAUACGAUAUAUUA